AAGUCGUAACAAGGUUUCCGUAGGUGAACCUGCGGAAGGAUCAUUACCGAGUUAGGGUACUCUUCGUGCCCGACCUCCAACCCUUUGCCUACCUGACCAGAUGUUGCUUCGGCAGGCCCGCCGCCCCGCGAGGGGCAGCCGCCGGGGGUCCUCACCGGCCCCGGGUCCGUGCCUGUCGAUGGCCCUUCUAAAACUCUUGCUUAAACGUGUCGUCUGAGUAAAACAAACAAAAUAAAAACAAAACUUUCAACAACGGAUCUCUUGGUUCUG
rnacentral:misc_RNA from 1 species